UUCUUAAUUGAAGGCUGGAAUGAAUGUCGGACAAGGGGCUAACUGUCUCUUUUUAAUAAUAUAGAAUUUUACUUUUAAGUGAAAAGGCUUAAAUAAUUUAAUGGGAAGACAAGACCCUAUAAAACUUUACAAAAUAUAUUAAUAAAUAAUUUGGUAGUUUAAAAUUAUAUUAGGUUAUUUUUGUUGAGCUGGGGCGGUUUUUAUAAAAAAAAUUAACGGGAAGUUAAAUUAAAAUAUAAAUAUAUAGUCUAAUACGAUCCUUAGGUUUGGAGAUUAAAAGACUAAGUUACUUUAGGGAUAACAGCAUA
rnacentral:rRNA from 1 species